UGCAGUCGAGGGGUACAUUUGUGCUUGCACAAGAUGACGACCGGCGCACGGGUGCGGAACGCGUAUGGAACCUGCCCCUGUCAGGGGAAUAGCCCAGAGAAAUUUGGAUUAAUGCCCCAUGGUACCACAAGGACACAUGUUUUUGUGGUUAAAGAUUUAUCGGACAGGGAUGGCCAUGCGUACCAUUAGUUAGUUGGUAAGGUAACGGCUUACCAAGGCAGCGAUGGUUAGGGGCCCUGAGAGGGGGAUCCCCCACACUGGUACUGAGACACGGACCAGACUCCUACGGGAGGCAGCAGUGAGGAAUAUUGGACAAUGGAGGAGACUCUGAUCCAGCCAUGCCGCGUGCAGGAUGACUGCCCUAUGGGUUGUAAACUGCUUUUAUACGGGAAGAAACGCACCUACGUGUAGGUGUCUGACGGUACCGUAAGAAUAAGGACCGGCUAACUCCGUGCCAGCAGCCGCGGUAAUACGGAGGGUCCGAGCGUUAUCCGGAAUCAUUGGGUUUAAAGGGUCCGUAGGCGGGCCAUUAAGUCAGGGGUGAAAGUCUGCAGCUCAACUGUAGAAUUGCCUUUGAUACUGGUGGUCUUGAGUCGUUGUGAAGUGGCCGGAACAUGUGGUGUAGCGGUGAAAUGCAUAGAUAUCACAUAGAACACCGAUUGCGAAAGGCAGGUCACUAACAACGUACUGACGCUGAUGGACGAAAGCGUGGGUAGCGAACGGGAUUAGAUACCCCGGUAGUCCACGCCGUAACGAUGGAUACUAGCUGUCC
rnacentral:rRNA from 1 species